GCGCAGCGGCGUGCCCCGCGCGGAGCCGGGGAGGCGGUGCGGGGCCAGGGCCGCCGGGCAGAGCCUUUCUUGCGAAACGAAACCUGGGUUUUUCCUGGGAAACAAACCCUGCAGCUUCCCCGGCCCCGUGGCGAGGGGGGAGCAGCGCCUGAGCAGCUGGGGCGCAGGGAGGACGCGGCUGGAGGCAGAGCUUGCAGGCUUCUCACAUUUAAAGGAACGUGAAAAGCAGGAGGAGAGGUGGUACAAAACCAGUGUGGGUGCUCGGGCAGGUGAGACGUGACUCAGGGGAAGGAGUCGCUUGCCUGAGCUCCUGCAGUUCCACUUACCUCUCUCUGUGAGAAGUUUCCCGUUUGGAGCUGGGCUUCAAAAGGAAGGAACUUGAAACUGCUUCUUCUGAUAAAUACUUAAGUAUGGGAGGCCAUAUGGAAGCUCAGUGCCGUAAGCAGCCAGUAACUUGCACGGAUAUUUUAACCAUUAAAAAAGGUGAUUUGUAUUCCCUCUGGGCACAAAUAACUUGGCUGUCCCAUGUAGAAUCCACUGAGGCUGUGAAUUGCAAUCCAGAGCAUAUUGCGGCUUCUGGUUGCUCGGGGCUGUGGGGUAUGUUGUUCAGAAAACAUCCCAGGCUGUCUGCCCCGGGUCUGCAUGUGCAGUUCCUCAGAGUGGGAAAAGGCCAAGGGGCUGGUGGGAAGGGCUUCCUCCCAGGCCUGGGCAUCCUCAGGACACCUUAAGUUUGGUUUUUAAAUGUUUGUUUUCUUUUGUUUCCCAGCCCACGGCUAAGCUGGAGAAAAGGUGGAGAGAGUAGCAAGUGGGACUCCCAUAUUUAGAUCCAUCCUUGGAUUCCAGGUGCUCCCUGUGGGUCUGUGCUGCCUAAGGGAAGGAGAUGUUGGGAGUACCUGUUUGUUCUCCUGCUGAGCUUGGAGGAGACACUGAGCAGGAAAUUGCAGGGAAGCUGCACUUGUGUAGUGACUGGAGGAGAGGCAUCUUGCCCCAUGUGCCGUGGUCAUUUCCCCUUUGGGUCCUGGUUUCCCUCUGUGUCUGUAUCCUUCUGUCCUUGCCCUGUGUCAGGCACUCUUCUCUGUCCUUCUCCAUGCCUCACUUGUGUUUCUUUUUAUUCUCUGUGGUGCUCCCCGUGCCAUUGUUCCUCACCGGAUCCUUGUGUCCCGUUGUCCCGUUCCCUGUUCCUGUUCCUGCUCUUUUUUAAUCCUCUCUGUUAUGCUGCCCAUCCUUUUUUUUUUUUUUUUUUUUUUUUUUUUUUUUUUUUUUUUUUUUUUUGGCAGGGGAGGUUUCCAGUUUCCUCCUGCACCCCAUUCUUCCUUUUCUUCCUGUGUCCUCUCUGCUGUCACUCCCUCUCUCUGUCCCACUCCUGUGACAGCGAGGCUGGGGAGGAACCUCAGCCCUGCCGGGGGCUGUCCCCCCUUUCUUGUUGCAGCAGAAUCCCCUUCUGGGGGGAUGUACAUGUGGAAAGGGCUCCAAGGAAGCGCUGCGCUGCUCUCCAGGGCAGUUGGACUCGUUCUGUGCCUUCUUCGGGGGUGAGGAAAAGGGGUUGAAGACUCGGGGCUCUGAUGCCAUUUGGGGCACCCCAAGGUCCCUGGAAGAGCGAGCCACACUGCGGUGGAAGAGCAGGUGCUUGUGCCGUAGUUUGGAUUCUGCUUCCUAACAUUUCUAGUGUGACAGAGUUUACCAUAGAGACAAUCUGCCAGGAGACAGCACUUUGGUGGGAAUGGCCGCCCUGGGGGCUGUCUCCAAAGUGACCUACAGACAUUGGAAUGGAAAUCUUUAUUUACUGUGUAAAAGAAUCACUCCACGAAGCAUCAGCCAGGGUCUAAAUGUCCCAUUCUGCCUUUUAAGAGUACCAGCAUCACGUGAUUUUUCUCAUAUUAAAGCUUCUGUGGAGUCGGAUCUGCCUGGCCCUUGAGAGUUGUGGAUCUCCCGUGAACUGCUCUUGCCAGAAGGGCUUGCUGAGUUUUCCAUUGUGUGGAAAAGAGAUCCCAUUUGGAGCCUGAAGCCUCUGUUUCCUGUGGGAUUUCCACUAGAAUUGCAAACUUUGCAGGAUUUCUUAUAGCAGAAAUUUUCUGGGAACUAGGACUCUGGCUGGAUUUGGGUCCUGGGACUCUCAAGUUAAGUGACCUUGAGACAAUAGGGCAUGCAGACUUCCUUGCUGUUGAAAAGAGCUAUCGUUUGCACCCAGGAGCCACGGUCUUAAUGGGGGCUCUUAAAUUUGCAAAUGUCUCAGGAUUUCUUCUAAAUAAAUGGUGCUAAGAAGAUCUGGCUGGCUUUGGACUUAGAGGUGCUUCCUCUGAAUUGGAAAGUGUUUCUGCAUAUGCAAAAUAGCCCUUGCUGUGCAGCUAAUCAGCUUCAAAGUACCAUCAAGUUGCUGCCCCUGCAAGGAUUUUGGCAGAGCCUGGUUGUAGUGUCUCCAUUCCGCUCCACCCCCCUUAGCAGGUGCUUAUGGUUGUAUGGGGAAUCAGCGUGGAACAUGCCAACCCAGUUCCAUCCUGAGAACAGCACCUGUAUUUUACCCUAAAAUUUCUGUCCCGUUAUAGCUCCUGUUAGGAUACAAAUGUAACUUCUCAGUUUCCUCUGAUUUUACCCCAUUAUCUUUCCAUACAAACAUUGCUCCACUCUCUAGAGGAUUAUUGUGAGCAGAUGUGAGCUCUGCUGUCCCUUUGGACUGAGAAAGACAGAGGGAUUUUCCCAAGUUCCUUUUGCACCUGUCCUGCACGUGUUACAAAUCCUCAGUCUCCUGCAGUUUUGUGGAUGAGUCACAUGUAAAACAGCACAACUGGCUGGCAUGCUCUGCUCAUGAGAGGAGAUGAGAAGAAUCCUUCUGCUCACACCAGACCUGCAGCUGCCAAACCUCACCAAAGCACCUGAGGAGCCCCCAGGGACUGAUGGCACAGAAGGGAGGUGAUGGAGCACAGCACAGCAGGCAGCCUGCCCUCCAUCUAGGUGUGAAGAAGGCAGGGCUGGAAUCUGUCAGCAACAUCCCACCAGGUCUGGCUCAUGGUGCCACCCCGAGGGUUUCCCCUGCCUUUGGGCAGUCCCAGCUGUUGCAGCUCACUUGACAGAGACCCACUGUCUAUCCUGUGCUUGGCUGCUCUGGAGAGGAUGAAGCCGAGGACAGCAAAGGUUGCCUUCACAGCCCCUGACUGCAGGCGGGAGGGAGGGCGAGCUCUGUCACCUUGGGAAGGCAUCCGCAGACUCACUGCUGCCCAUCUCUGGAGCCUGGCUCCAUCGGGGGAUCGUGGUAAGGACAGCAGUGCUCACCUAACUUUGCACCUGAGGUCAGCUUCAGGAUCUUGUCAUACUAUGGGAGAGCAGAGCUUCUCAGUAAACACCAGCUAACACACUCACUACCAGUGUUAACAAUAACAAUUCUUACCUAAAUAUUAAUACUAAUAACAUUUAUUAUGCAUCUUAUUAAUGCUAGUAGAGGCCGGUAGCAUUCCUAACGCUGAGGCUUGCAUGAAGAACACAAAACUAAUUAAUGUUACUGAUUAUGCUAUAGUGGUGUUGAAAUACUUGGCCUCCACUGCAGCAACCCCACACUUACCUCGAUGGCCUCCCCCAGCAGGUCCCGAAGCACCUGGAUGCAGAUCAGCUUAAGUUUCACUGAUGUGAUAAACAGAGUUCACUCUUUAAAAUUUUUACAAGUUUAAUAAAGGAUAAAAGGACAAAAUAAUCCAGCACUGGGGUGCUUUUGACACACAGCCAAAGAGCACAGAGGUAGCUUAAAAUCAUGUUCACUAUAUACAGAUACAUUGCUGGGGUUUCAUGCAUAUUCAUUAGCUUAUACAUUAUUCAAACAUUCCUUUGAGUUUUUGAUGUUUCAGGAACUCUCUUGUUUGAUUUUAACCUCUGACCUGUCUGCAGAACAUUCUGUAAAUUAGGUCUACAUAUUUUAUUUCUUCCUGUAGUUUUAUCCUGUUGCUUUACACUUGCUGAUAACCCUGAUAAGAGUCGAUAAAUCCUUCCUGGAUGCUGGAGCUCUGUUUUUGUCACUGUUAUCACUUGGUAGGGACUGUCUGCAGAUAUAAGAAACAGAAUAAUUGCUUUACACCACUCUCUGAGUUAGUUACAUAGAAGUAUUUUAGUUUCUAUUUUAACAUUUUGCUAAAGCCUACGAUAUAAUAUAUUUAUCACACUACUGUUCAUAUGAAAUAUACAGUGCAUACAUAAACUGGCAUAAUAAACUAUACAAAGCAGUUAAAAGUAAGUAUAAGUUGUACCAUAUCAAAAUACUUGUGAUGCAAAAAGCUAAUCUAUGUAUGUGAAAGCCAA